GAAUUCGCCCUUAGAGUUUGAUCCUGGCUCAGGACGAACGCUGGCGGCACGCUUAACACAUGCAAGUCGAACGAGAGAAGAGAAGCUUGCUUUUCUGAUCUAGUGGCGGACGGGUGAGUAACACGUGAGCAAUCUGCCUUUCAGAGGGGGAUACCGAUUGGAAACGAUCGUUAAUACCGCAUAAUAUAAUUGAACCGCAUGAUUUGAUUAUCAAAGAUUUAUCGCUGAAAGAUGAGCUCGCGUCUGAUUAGCUAGUUGGUAAGGUAACGGCUUACCAAGGCGACGAUCAGUAGCCGGACUGAGAGGUUGAUCGGCCACAUUGGGACUGAGACACGGCCCAGACUCCUACGGGAGGCAGCAGUGGGGAAUAUUGCACAAUGGAGGAAACUCUGAUGCAGCGAUGCCGCGUGAGGGAAGAAGGUUUUAGGAUUGUAAACCUCUGUCUUCAGGGACGAAAAAAGACGGUACCUGAGGAGGAAGCUCCGGCUAACUACGUGCCAGCAGCCGCGGUAAUACGUAGGGAGCGAGCGUUGUCCGGAAUUACUGGGUGUAAAGGGAGCGUAGGCGGGAUCGCAAGUCAGAUGUGAAAACUAUGGGCUUAACCCAUAAACUGCAUUUGAAACUGUGGUUCUUGAGUGAAGUAGAGGUAAGCGGAAUUCCUAGUGUAGUGGUGAAAUGCGUAGAUAUUAGGAGGAACAUCAGUGGCGAAGGCGGCUUACUGGGCUUUAACUGACGCUGAGGCUCGAAAGCGUGGGGAGCAAACAGGAUUAGAUACCCUGGUAGUCCACGCCGUAAACGAUGAUUACUAGGUGUGGGGGGACUGACCCCUUCCGUGCCGCAGCAAACGCAAUAAGUAAUCCACCUGGGGAGUACGACCACAAGGUUGAAACUCAAAGGAAUUGACGGGGGCCCGCACAAGCAGUGGAGUAUGUGGAUUAAUUCGAAGCAACGCGAAGAACCUUACCAGGUCUUGACAUCGUAUGCAUAGCUCAGAGAUGAGUGAAAUCUCUUCGGAGACAUAUAGACAGGUGGUGCAUGGUUGUCGUCAGCUCGUGCCGUGAGAUGUUGGGUUAAGUCCCGCAACGAGCGCAACCCUUACUGUUAGUUGCUACGCAAGAGCACUCUAGCAGGACUGCCGUUGACAAAACGGAGGAAGGUGGGGAUGACGUCAAAUCAUCAUGCCCCUUAUGACCUGGGCCUCACACGUACUACAAUGGCUGUUAACAGAGGGAUGCAAAGCCGCGAGGUGGAGCGAACCCCUAAAAGCAGUCUUAGUUCGGAUUGUAGGCUGCAACCCGCCUACAUGAAGUCGGAAUUGCUAGUAAUCGCAGAUCAGCAUGCGGCGGUGAAUACGAACCCGGGCCUUGCAC
rnacentral:rRNA from 1 species